AGGAGGUGAUCAGAACUAGCAGCAUCCAUAUUUGUGAAAUUCUUUCCUGUGUCCCCAUGUUCACCAUCCAGAAGAGAGGAGGAUUCAGUUUGUUCAACUCUUUGCUCUCCAUUGACUACAGACACCAGGAAAUGUGCAAAAUCUUUUUUUUUCAGAUGACACGCUUUCCUCAAGUUGAUCUUUCACGAUCAGGCACUGUGCUGAUCCGGGAAGGAGGCAGAGACUACUGAACCUUGCAGCCACUGGGCUAGCUGAGCACUUUGCCUACCUGGAAGGCUGAAUCCAGAUACCACUGCCUUGACUCUGUGCUCAGGCUGGCUGAUGAAAAGGGAUUUGAGGAUCCACCAUUUGUGCCGUGCUUGGACAAACCGUGUGGUGUGUGCUCGUUCAAUAAUCAUGUGUGGGAGCUUUACCUUGGAAUUGCAUAGUUUUUAAGGAUGCAACCAGAAAUCUGUGGUGGAGGACACAGGAUGAUAACGCAGGGAGACACGAAGUGGACUGAGGAGAGUUGUGCAUGCCCGGGAGGGAGAGCUGCCAGUGAGCAACAUCUGUUGUUUGACCUUCAGGAGCCUAUGAGAAAGGUAACUUUUUGGCAUACAUCUUCCUUAUUGCUUGUUAGGAAGACUUUACUUACUGUGGGUGGACACUUUGGUAAGAAAACAGUGAAAGAAGAAGCCGGAAGACAGUUGGCCUUCUUUUGCUAUCUUGCAUCAGGGCCAACUGCUACGUAAUACACCCAGAAGUCAUAUUUGUUGCUGUUGCUAGGCCAUCGUGCUGCUCCUCACCUACUUCAGCAGCCUCCUGAAUCCCACGCAUUGCAGAAGUUGCUGUUGUCACUUCUAUGCCCCCCACAAGACAACAGAGAGCUUAGCUGCAAGUGCCUUCCUC